AAUAAGUGCAGCCACGAGUUUCCGCGUCCAAUUUUUAUUGUCCGUUUUAUUUGAAUUUUUUUUAUAAUUAGCAUUUUUGUUGUUAUGAGAUGAUAAAACAUGAAUAGUACUUUACUCGUGACUUAUGUUUUUAAUUUUUUUUAAAAAAAAUUAAAUAAGACGAAUGGUCAAAGUUGAGCGUGAAAAAUCAUGGCUGCACUUAUU
rfam:Oryza glumipatula chromosome 2, whole genome shotgun sequence.